rnacentral:rRNA from 1 species
UACGUAGGUGGCGAGCGUUGUCCGGAUUUACUGGGCGUAAAGAGCGCGCAGGCGGUCGUCCAAGUCGCGUGUGAAAGCCCCCCGGCUCAACUGGGGAGGGUCACGCGAUACUGGUCGACUCGAAGGCAGGAGAGGGUAGUGGAAUUCCCGGUGUAGUGGUGAAAUGCGUAGAUAUCGGGAGGAACACCAGUGGCGAAGGCGACUACCUGGCCUGUUCUUGACGCUGAGGCGCGAAAGCUAGGGGAGCAAACGGG